CUACUGACCUUGAGCCCUUCCUCCUGGGCUCUUUUCUCUCUCUGCACUCGGGAGGCGCCCAUGCACGGUCUGCAAAGGCACAGGAGGCCCUUGGGGUGCAGCUGAGAUUACGCACUCCACCAUGCCGCAGGAAGAGAGCGAGCAGGAAAACAAGGCCUGGGAGCCAGCCCCGCCUGCACCGCCCGCAGCUCAGCCCGGUUUAUCCUGGAGUCACCUCCCCAGCGGGCAGCGGCUGCCUCUCCCCCUCGCCGAAGGCCCAGAAGAGCAAGAAGACACUAGGGGGAAACUGAUGGAACCACGGGCAGUUCUCCUUGGAUAGCCUCGAGUCUGGACCCUAGAGCAGAGGCUCUGAGAGUGAGGUCGCCGGGUCUUCUCAUUCUUCAUUCCCUUUCAGACACUGCUCCCCUCUAUCCCCAGGCUCCAGAGUGUCUGGCCUGAGGUUCUGGGUCCACUGGGAGAGCCAAGUGUGUGAUUUCCCAUCUGCUCCCUACAGACACUAGUGGGAACUCGCUGAUCGAUGGCGACGAUCCCUCCUCCAUCCUUUCCAUGUUAUGGUGUGGAUGUGAGGUGUCCUUUAAAAGCUCCUGUGUGAGGCAGAGAAAGAAGGUUCAGAGGUGAAAUGAUCGAGUUAUCAAGGCCUUGACCUGGCCAGUGCAUUAAUCCCCAGUAGGGAUGAACUGGGUGGUGACUGCAGGCGGGGUGUGGCUGGAGGGGGUGGGUCCCUAGGGGUGAGCCUCUGGGGUAUAUAUUUUGUCCUUGUGGAGCAGAGCUCUCUCUCUCUGCUUCCUGGUGGGAUGUCCUGAGCCGCUUCCCUCCACCCCACUUUUCUGCCUUGAUGUUCUGCCUCACCUCGAGCCCCGAGGAAUGGAAUAAGACCUCUGAAACUGUGCGCCCCAAAUAAAUUCUUCCUCCUCCAA